rnacentral:misc_RNA from 1 species
GCUUUCCAAACUCUCUUCGUCCUCUUCUUCUUCAUUUCUAACCUUUUCCCCUUUUUUCUCGUAAAUGGGGUUGAAAUGGAUUCUCAAUUCUGCCUUUACUCAAGUUCUCGGCCUCACGGAGAAGCAACACAAUCAGAAGGAGGUAGCAGAAGGAAUCAAGAACGUGGAGCAAGUGAAGGAGGCGGAAGAUUGUUUUUAUAGAAGUUUGAAUUUCGAAAGUGGGUUUCAAAUGCCACUCCAUUAUCCCAGGUACACGAAGGGGGACUAUGAGAAAAUGGAGGAAGGUAAGUUGGAUUUGCUUCUCAAACAAUAUGGACUCUGUUUUGAUGGUACCCUUGAGGAGAAAAGGGCAUUUGCUAUUGGGACCUUCUUGUGGCCUGACCAACUUUGAAUCCACCCACCAACUGUUUGAUGAAAUUCCU